UGAUUAGCUAGUUGGUAAGGUAACGGCUUACCAAGGCGACGAUCAGUAGCCGACCUGAGAGGGUGAUCGGCCACAUUGGAACUGAGACACGGUCCAAACUCCUACGGGAGGCAGCAGUGGGGAAUAUUGCACAAUGGGCGAAAGCCUGAUGCAGCAACGCCGCGUGAGUGAUGAAGGCCUUCGGGUCGUAAAACUCUGUCCUCAAGGAAGAUAAUGACGGUACUUGAGGAGGAAGCCCCGGCUAACUACGUGCCAGCAGCCGCGGUAAUACGUAGGGGGCUAGCGUUAUCCGGAUUUACUGGGCGUAAAGGGUGCGUAGGCGGUCUUUCAAGUCAGGAGUGAAAGGCUACGGCUCAACCGUAGUAAGCUCUUGAAACUGGGAGACUUGAGUGCAGGAGAGGAGAGUGGAAUUCCUAGUGUAGCGGUGAAAUGCGUAGAUAUUAGGAGGAACACCAGUUGCGAAGGCGGCUCUCUGGACUGUAACUGACGCUGAGGCACGAAAGCGUGGGGAGCAAACAGGAUUAGAUAC
rnacentral:rRNA from 1 species